AAACACUUAAUGGCCGUUUUUAUACUAGAGACGCAUUAUGCGUCUGGACGAACUUGGGCAAGCAUUUGUUGUUCGUCUGGUUAUGCGUCCUUAGUAUAAAGACGGGCACAAGACGCAUUAUGCGUCUAGACGAACUAUGUUCGAUUUUUCGUCUUAAGAGACGCACAACCGAUGAUAGUUCGUCUAGACGCAUAAUGCGUCUUGUGCCCGUCUUUAUACUAAGGACGCAUAUAACCAGACGAACAACAAAUGUUGAUAGUUCGUCGGAUUAUUCGUCCCGUCUUUAUACUAGACGAAUAAUAUAGAAGACGGAUUAUGCGUCCAGACGCAUAAUGCGUCUCUAGUAUAAAAACGGCCAAUGUGUAAU
rnacentral:lncRNA from 1 species